GACGAAGGGGGCUAGCGUUGUUCGGAAUUACUGGGCGUAAAGCGCGUGUAGGCGGUUGUCCCAGUUGGAUGUGAAAGCCUUGAGCUUAACUCAAGAAAUGCAUUCAGGACUGGAUGACUAGAGGACCGGAGAGGAUAGUGGAAUUCCCAGUGUAGUGGUGAAAUACGUAGAGAUUGGGAAGAACACCAGUGGCGAAGGCGGCUAGCUGGGCCAACACUGACGCUGAUGCGCGAAAGCUAGGGUAGCAAACGGG
rnacentral:rRNA from 1 species